rnacentral:tRNA from 1 species
GGCAGGGUAGAGAAGCAGCAUCUCGCAAGGUUCAUACCCUUGAGAUCGUCGGUGCAAGUCCGACCCCUGCAACCA